AAAAAUCAGCUUAACGUUGAUUCUUGAAGAUGAUUCCAAGUAGCAACUUGCACUAGGAAAACUGAAUACAAUGCCCAGGAGCCCCCGUGGCAGUACAGAUGCAAAGUCUGCAACUCAGUUUUACUAUUCCUUGAACUACAGUGCUACAUUGGCGGUGCCAAGCAACUGGAAUCCUUGAGCAAUCUAGGCAAUCUGAUCAAGCAGUCUGAUAUUGGAAGACAUCCUACACGGAUUGCAAU
rnacentral:lncRNA from 1 species